rnacentral:lncRNA from 1 species
ACAAAGAACAGACAGUGAGAGAGCAGACAGCUCCAUCCACGCUGCUUUAGGAUUUGGGGAAUUUUCCAGGGAUUGCAAAGCUCCAUAAAGCCAAGUUCCUUUUUGACUUCCGAGGAGCUGGGCGUGGGGUCUGGGAAGCCUGCAGAAAACCUCUUAGCCGUUCCCCUGCAAAUGUACUUGACUUCUCAAGCUGCAUUCCAGAGGACUUCACCCUGAGGACUUUUUUUUUUCUUUUACAAAAAACCUGUUCUGGAGGCUGCGUGGGAGCCUGGCUGGAAGAAGGAACCGGCUCUGCCAGCCCCGGCGCCUGUGCUGGAGCCCGGCGAGCAAGGUCAGCCGGUGGCCGGCCACGUCCAUGGCCACGUCCCUGAUCAGGAAGGGGUUGCAGGCCCCCGGCUGGAGCAGGAGGGUGAGGAAGACUAUGCGAGAUGGAGGGCAGCUGCCGAGGCGUGCUGGCUGCGCUGGUCGUUCUGGCUGGGCUGGCAGCUUGUGGAUCCGGCAAUGAAAUCUUAGAGGGUCCCAGCAACGUCACGGUGGUGAAGGGCUCGGAGGCUCGCUUCAACUGCACCAUCUCCCAGGGCUGGAAGCUCAUCAUGUGGGCUCUGAAAGGCACGGUGGUUCUGAGCGUCACGCCCACCGAGCCCAUCAUCACCAACGACCGAUUCACGUCUGCAAGUUAUG